UACAUGGGGUGCAAACGUUGCUCGGAAUUAUUGGGCGUAAAGCGCGCGUAGGCGGUUACUCAAGUCGGAUGUGAAAGCCCUCGGCUUAACUGAGGAAGUGCAUCCGAAACUGGCAGGCUAGAGUACUAAAGAGGGUCGCGGAAUUCCCGGUGUAGAGGUGAAAUUCGUAGAUAUCAGGAGGAACACCGGUGGUGUAGACGGCUCUCUGGACCGUAACUGACGCUGAGACACGAAAGCGUGGGUAGCAAACAGG
rnacentral:rRNA from 1 species